UGCAAGUCGAGCGAACUGACGAGGAGCUUGCUCCUUUGACGUUAGCGGCGGACGGGUGAGUAACACGUGGGUAACCUACCUAUAAGACUGGAAUAACUCCGGGAAACCGGGGCUAAUGCCGGAUAACAUGUUGAACCGCAUGGUUCAACAGUGAAAGACGGUCUUGCUGUCACUUAUAGAUGGACCCGCGCCGUAUUAGCUAGUUGGUAAGGUAACGGCUUACCAAGGCGACGAUACGUAGCCGACCUGAGAGGGUGAUCGGCCACACUGGAACUGAGACACGGUCCAGACUCCUACGGGAGGCAGCAGUAGGGAAUCUUCCGCAAUGGGCGAAAGCCUGACGGAGCAACGCCGCGUGAGUGAUGAAGGUCUUCGGAUCGUAAAGCUCUGUUGUUAGGGAAGAACAUAUGUGUAAGUAACUGUGCACAUCUUGACGGUACCUAACCAGAAAGCCACGGCUAACUACGUGCCAGCAGCCGCGGUAAUACGUAGGUGGCAAGCGUUAUCCGGAAUUAUUGGGCGUAAAGCGCGCGUAGGCGGUUUUUUAAGUCUGAUGUGAAAGCCCACGGCUCAACCGUGGAGGGUCAUUGGAAACUGGAAAACUUGAGUGCAGAAGAGGAAAGUGGAAUUCCAUGUGUAGCGGUGAAAUGCGCAGAGAUAUGGAGGAACACCAGUGGCGAAGGCGGCUUUCUGGUCUGUAACUGACGCUGAGGUGCGAAAGCGUGGGGAUCAAACAGGAUUAGAUACCCUGGUAGUCCACGCCGUAAACGAUGAGUGCUAAGUGUUAGGGGGUUUCCGCCCCUUAGUGCUGCAGCUAACGCAUUAAGCACUCCGCCUGGGGAGUACGGUCGCAAGACUGAAACUCAAAGGAAUUGACGGGGACCCGCACAAGCGGUGGAGCAUGUGGUUUAAUUCGAAGCAACGCGAAGAACCUUACCAAAUCUUGACAUCUUUUGACCGCUCUAGAGAUAGAGUUUUCCUCUUCGGAGGACAAAAUGACAGGUGGUGCAUGGUUGUCGUCAGCUCGUGUCGUGAGAUGUUGGGUUAAGUCCCGCAACGAGCGCAACCCUUAAGCUUAGUUGCCAUCAUUAAGUUGGGCACUCUAAGUUGACUGCCGGUGACAAACCGGAGGAAGGUGGGGAUGACGUCAAAUCAUCAUGCCCCUUAUGAUUUGGGCUACACACGUGCUACAAUGGACAAUACAAAGGGCAGCGAAACCGCGAGGUCAAGCAAAUCCCAUAAAGUUGUUCUCAGUUCGGAUUGUAGUCUGCAACUCGACUACA
rnacentral:rRNA from 1 species